CUCUCUCUGACUGGUACACAGGACGACACAGGACCACAGACUGAGGCUGUUUAUCACGAGAUUCAUCACAGACAGCAUCACUUUCACUCAGAGGGAGGAAGAUCAGGAGGAGGAUGAUGAUGUGAAGAACACAAUGAAGAUGAGAGAAACCUAGACUAUGACGGUGUGGGGGAGGAGUCAUAUAAAGAGGGAGGGGCCAUAUGACUCAAUGACCACACCCACUAUUUCUGUUCAUGAAAUCAUAUUACAGUUACCGGAGCUACUGGGACUUUCUUAUAUUGCUAAUAAUGCAUCAAUGUGUUUUUAUGUUAUUUCAUUUUUUUAUGCUUUGCAAAAUUUGGUAACAAUGAAUGUUAGUAUUUGUGCAUUUCAGUAUUUAGCUUAUUAUUUUUUGUACUGAUAUUAAUGCUUUUUUACCUAAUGAACAAAUAAGCAAAUUAUAUUAUUCAUUCAGUCUAUUUACCGCGUUUUUAAAGAGCAGUUAAAGCAAAACUAGACUGCAGAGAUUUAUUGCACACUUCAUGUAAAAUGUGAUUUAAAAAAACAUUUCAAACAUACAUUUAUACACCUGUCCCAAUUGCAGAGUUUACUGUGUGAUGGUGUACUUCAACUACUUCAGCUUUAAAAUGCUUUAAAUGA